UACGGAGGGUGCGAGCGUUGUUCGGAUUUACUGGGCGUAAAGGGCGCGUAGGCGGCGUGACAAGUCACUUGUGAAAUCUCCGGGCUUAACUCGGAACGGUCAAGUGAUACUGUCGUGCUAGAGUACAGAAGGGGCAACUGGAAUUCUCGGUGUAGCGGUGAAAUGCGUAGAUAUCGAGAGGAACACCUGCGGCGAAGGCGGGUUGCUGGGCUGAUACUGACGCUGAGGCGCGAAAGCCAGGGGAGCGAACGGG
rnacentral:rRNA from 1 species